UUUAAAGGGCUGCGGUAAUUUGACCGUGCAAAGGUAGCAUAAUCAAUAGUCUUUUAAUUGGAGGCUUGAAUGAAAGGUUUGACGGAGGAGAAGCUGUCUUUUUAUUAGAAUUGAAUUUAACUUUUGUGUAAGAAGGCAUUAAUGAUUUAGAGGGACGAUAAGACCCUAUAAAACUUUAUAUAUUAUAUUUAUUUAAUAAAAUAGUUAAUUAAUUAUUGGUGGUUAAUUAUAUUUUGCUGGGGUGGCAGGAAUAUAAUUCUAACUGUUUUAAAUGUAAAAUAUUUAUUAAUAGAGAGUGGUCCUUUGGUUGAGAGUUGAGAGUAAGUUACUUUAGGGAUAACAGCAUAAUUUCUUUUGAGAGUUCUUAUCGAAGAUGGUAGUUGUGACCUCGAUGUUGAAUUAAAUUUUCCUUUUAAUGUAGGAGUUUAAAAGGAAGGGCCA
rnacentral:rRNA from 1 species